GAUGAACGCUGGCGGCGUGCUUAACACAUGCAAGUCGAACGAUCAAACCGCCUUCGGGCGGACAUACAGUGGCGAACGGGUGAGUAACACGUGACCAACCUGCCCCGCACACCGGGACAGCCUCGGGAAACCGGGAUUAAUACCGGAUACUCCGGAAGGGCCGCAUGGCGCUUCCGGGAAAGGACCUCCGGUGCGGGAUGGGGUCGCGGCCCAUCAGGUAGUAGGUCGGGUGAUGGCCGACCUAGCCGACGACGGGUAGCCGGGUUGAGAGACCGACCGGCCACAUUGGGACUGAGAUACGGCCCAGACUCCUACGGGAGGCAGCAGUGGGGAAUAUUGCGCAAUGGGGGCAACCCUGACGCAGCAACGCCGCGUGCGGGAUGACGGCCUUCGGGUUGUAAACCGCUUUCAGCAGGGAAGAUAAUGACGGUACCUGCACAAGAAGCCCCGGCUAACUACGUGC
rnacentral:rRNA from 1 species